ACACUUAAAAAGUUAACGGCUACAACAACGGGGAAUAAUUGUUUAAAAAGAAGCCAUGCGUUGGAUCCGAUUCCUCCCACCCAAAUGUUAUUUAGGUGAAAAUAAAACUGCCACCGGACACGUUUGCUUGAGGAAUCCAUCAGACCAGACCACCUCCAUUUUAUGAACCCACAGAACCCUCCCCAUCCAGCUCUCCCCUCCUCACCCCUCCUCCUCUCCCAUCCUCUGUGUGGAAAAAACCAUGUUUCAGAACUGUCGGAUGUUUAUGGACGGGGAAUCCAAAGAGUUGCCUUGGUCAACAAAGGCACCCAUCUUCCACCAUGAGCAACAGGAAGGCCUAACCCAGAAGAAGCCUAACAUGAAAAAACAACAUUAUCUGUUACCUUGUACAGACUGGUGGAGAUCGGAGAUUUUAACGAGGAGUGGCCAGAGACAAACGAGAGGCCCCUUUGAGAUGGCAGCAUCCUGGGAGAAACGGAACCUGGGCCGCCGUCUCCAGCCCGAGUCGUUGGACCAGAACCAGGCGGUGGUUAUAGCCGAGCUAGCAGACUGGAAUCCAGCUACCACACCAGCAGUGACACACCCAGUAAACCAGAACAACAGCCACAGAACGACAGGUCUGCACUCCAACGAGAGACCCCAACACACAGAGGAAACUGCAGGACUGGAAUCUUCAUGUGAAGAAAAUAUCUGUGAUCAUCGGUGACUCCUAUGUGCACAGACUCCUCCGUCCUAUAAAGCAGAGGGGUACAGAUCGACAGAUUUCCAUGAGCGAAAUGUUGCCACCCGGUGAGGCCCAGUUGGAGAAAGCACCCUGUGGAAAAUCUGGUUUUAUAACUUUGGACUGAAUACCAGUGAUGGAGCUGAAAAUGGGACUAAAGGCAGAGCAGUCAGCAAUCUUUCUAAGGCCCUUAUCUGUAAAGAACAAGCCACAAUGUUGGAUCUUAACAACUUUAUUACAGGUUUAGAUGAACUGAUUCCUGCACUUCCUACUGUGAUAUUCGGCACAGAAGGACAACAUUCACUCGACUAGUAGAGCAGCAAUGUGUAUGUUAGAACAGUGGAACCAGUGUGUAAAUGAGCCAUCCCCAUAAGCCUUGGAAAAGUGGGAGGAGUGAUUCACCUUUCUUAAGUUCCAAUGCUCAGUAGGUCCUUUGGACAGAAAUAAGUUCUUCUUCUUUCAAUAAUUGUUUAUUCUGUUCAUUAUAGAAUCAGCUAUGCUCCAGUGGUCAGGAGAAGCUUCUGCUAUAUGAAGCUGUUACAGUGCUUUUUGUUACACUGAACGAGAGUAGUUUUUCUUGUUGCUUGUUUGAUCUACUUCCAUUUAAAAGAUUAUAAUUACUGAAGUGAAUGUGUUUUCAGAUAGUUUACAGUGCCACUGAAGCUCCACUCAACCAAGUGUGCCUCAACAGUCUGAAAUGAAAAGAUUUUUCUUGCUUUUUUAUAAAACAAUAUAAUAUAAAAUAAUAUAAUAUAAUAUAAAACAAUAAUUUUGGAUGUUUCUUUCGGCUCUUGAGGUGCCCUCAUUGAGUGGGGUUUGCCCAGUAUCCUCGAGGGUAUGUGAGGAGCCUUCCAUAGUUGGGUUGUUUGGUUUUUACCCCAGCAGCCAUUCAUCUCCAUCUCAACAGUUCAUGACCAACAUGCCGUGGCUGCCCCCUGUACCUGUUGAGUACCUGUACCCUCAUCCACUGGAGCCUGGACCUCCAGCUGAUUGCAGCCACUUCAGUGCAAGGAGGAGAUGCUCGCUUUUUGUGUGACUGUCUGUCACCCUUCCCUUUCUACCCUAACCCAUUUUCCACUCCAGCUUCUACCCGACCCGGUUCAGACCCCUCCUCAGUCAGGGAGGGGUCUGAACAGACUGUCGCAGGAUUCUCAUUAAUACAGGAAAGAAGGGAUUUGAAGACGAGAUGAGGACUUUUAGCAAUUCCCUCCCCCAACCAAAUCCUAACUUUAAGCCACUAUCCAGUCCUGUCCCCCUUCUCUCCUCAUACCGGUACCCACAGUUCA
ensembl:lncRNA